UGAGUAUGAUGUUAGCUGUAGGCUAAUCAUACAUGGCCUUUACUAAAUUGAGGAAUGCUCCAUGUAU